GGUCCAGUAGCUCAGUGGUAAAGAGCACUUGCAUAUAUAGCCAGGAGGUCCUUGGUUCAAUCCCAGGCUCAGUCA